UACGUAGGGUGCAAGCGUUUAAUCGGAAUUACUGGGCGUAAAGCGUGCGCAGGCGGUGAUGUAAGACAGAUGUGAAAUCCCCGGGCUCAACCGGGGAGGGUCGUCGGGGACGGGUGCGCUUGAGGACGGCAGGGGCAGGUGGAAUUCCCGGUGUAGUGGUGAAAUGCGUAGAGAGUCGGGAGGAACACCCGUGGCGAAGGCGGCAUCCUGGACCGGCAUUGACGCUGAGGCGCGAAAGCCAGGGGGAGCAA
rnacentral:rRNA from 1 species